rnacentral:rRNA from 1 species
GACGAACGCUGGCGGCGUGCUUAACACAUGCAAGUCGAACGGAAAGGCCCUGCUUUUGUGGGGUGCUCGAGUGGCGAACGGGUGAGUAACACGUGAGUAACCUGCCCUUGACUUUGGGAUAACUUCAGGAAACUGGGGCUAAUACCGGAUAGGAGCUCCUGCUGCAUGGUGGGGGUUUGAAAGUUUCGGCGGUUGGGGAUGGACUCGCGGCUUAUCAGCUUGUUGGUGGGGUAGUGGCUUACCAAGGCUUUGACGGGUAGCCGGCCUGAGAGGGUGACCGGCCACAUUGGGACUGAGAUACGGCCCAGACUCCUACGGGAGGCAGCAGUGGGGAAUAUUGCACAAUGGGCGGAAGCCUGAUGCAGCAACGCCGCGUGCGGGAUGACGGCCUUCGGGUUGUAAACCGCUUUCGCCUGUGACGAAGCGUGAGUGACGGUAAUGGGUAAAGAAGCACCGGCUAACUACGUG